AGGAGCCAAUGGAAGUAGAUCCAGAGAGAACCGAGACGGUUGAGAGCUCCAACUCAGAGGAUGUGAUCGCCCCUGCUAAGCCGGUGACGAGCACGCUCACAUCAAAACCCAAGGGCAUCAAGCGCAAGGGAGUGGUGCGACCCAGCACUACGGAAACGGUUAUACCGAGAGACAGUGAGAGGUAUGCAGUCUUGAAAAACCGGGAGAUCACCCCUUGGUAUUAUCUGGUGACUGAAGUAUUG
rnacentral:lncRNA from 1 species